rnacentral:lncRNA from 1 species
GUUCAUAGUUUAUUGAUAGUUUGUCAGUAAUCAAGUAUUCACACAAGAGAACAGUCACUUCAUUGUAUGAUUCAUGAACACAUUCCAUCCUCCUUCCUAAUCUUUAACUCAAAUCUUAACUGCUUAGUGCUGUUUAUCUUCCAAAGAAACUCAUAAAAGAGCUUGGAGAACUCUGGGGUUUUUCCUCAUUGUUCUAUAAACAAGGCUUUGCGUUUCUUAUAAAACCUCUCUGUUACUGUAGAGCGGAAAAAGCACAACUGUAUGCAGAUAAGACCCAAGACUUCAAAGGUGUUUCUCAGGUGAGUGGGGCAGUGCUGGGAAGCUCCUUCCUGAAGCCCCUCUGGUUAGGGUGCUUGCAUGGGCUCACAGUGAGGUGCCGUAAGUGAAAGAAGGGGAAGCCCUAGAAGUGAGGUCACAUCUGCUUGCCUCUGGAAGAGUUUGCCCUUCAAUGAGCUUUGGAAGGAAGGACAGGAGUUUGUCAAGCAGACAAGAAGCAGCAGAAUACUGUAGGAAGAGGAGAGACAAGCCCUACUACCUAGAGGCCUGAAAGCGUGUUGUGGGUUGAGACAAUGACAUCUCUUUCCAAAUUCUGCUCAUAGGUGGAUAGGCCCUUGGAGGGGAGGGAGAAGAGGCUGAGAGGGGACAGAAGCAGGGAGACCGCUAGAUACUACAGCAUUUUCUUGACCAGAUUAAGGUGAUUGAACUUGGUGCUGGAGUCGCUAAGGAGACAUUUAGGGAUUUUUAAGCAAAAAGUGGUCCUUUAAGCAAAAGGUUCAGAUUUGCAUUUGGGAAAAAUUUUUCUGACAGUCUAGUGGGUCAACAGGAGCAAUUAUCUUUUGUUCGUAUUAAUCAUAGUCCCACUUAAAAAGCAAAGUACAAACUGCGGCAGUGAAGGAUUUUGGCCACAAAUAUAAUACAAGGUUGACAUCUUUAAUUUAUAAAAGUUUCAUCCAGGGCUGAUCCGGUGGCGCAGCGGUUAAGUUUGUACAUUCCUCUUUAGCGGCCCAGGGUUUGUCAGUUCAGAUCCCAGCUGCGGACAUGGCACUGCUCGGCAAGCCAUGCUGUGGCAGGUGUCCCACAUAUAAAGUAGAGGAAGAUGGGGAUGGAUGUUAGCUCAGGGCCAGUCUUCCUCAGCAAAAAAAGAGAGGAGGAUUGGUGGCAGAUGUUAGCUCAGGGCUAAUCUUCCUCAAAAAAAAUAAAAAUAAAAAUAAAUAAAAGUUUCAUCCAGGUCGAUAAGAAACAACAUCAGAAUCUGUCUAGGAAAAAAAAAUGGGCAAUUGGCCUGAAAAGCUCACUUCCAGGAUAUAGUAAAUCGUUACUAUGAAAAAUGAUCGUCCUCACCAUCAUAUAAAUGCAUAGUAAAAU